GAUGAACGCUGGCGGCGUGCCUAAUACAUGCAAGUCGAGCGAACAGACGGGGAGCUUACUCCUCUGACGUUAGCGGCGGACGGGUGAGUAACACGUGGAUAACCUACCUAUAAGACUGGGAUAACUUCGGGAAACCGGAGCUAAUACCGGAUAAUAUAUUGAACCGCAUGGUUCAAUAGUGAAAGACGGUUUUGCUGUCACUUAUAGAUGGAUCCGCGCCGCAUUAGCUAGUUGGUAAGGUAACGGCUUACCAAGGCAACGAUGCGUAGCCGACCUGAGAGGGUGAUCGGCCACACUGGAACUGAGACACGGUCCAGACUCCUACGGGAGGCAGCAGUAGGGAAUCUUCCGCAAUGGGCGAAAGCCUGACGGAGCAACGCCGCGUGAGUGAUGAAGGUCUUCGGAUCGUAAAACUCUGUUAUUAGGGAAGAACAAAUGUGUAAGUAACUAUGCACGUCUUGACGGUACCUAAUCAGAAAGCCACGGCUAACUACGUG
rnacentral:rRNA from 1 species